GAUGAACGCUGGCGGCGUGCCUAAUACAUGCAAGUCGAGCGAAUGGAUUGAGAGCUUGCUCUUAUGAAGUUAGCGGCGGACGGGUGAGUAACACGUGGGUAACCUGCCCAUAAGACUGGGAUAACUCCGGGAACCAGGGGCUAAUACCGGAUAACAUUUUGAACCGCAUGGUUCGAAAUUGAUAGGCGGCUUCGGCUGGCACGUAUGGAAGGACCUGCGUCGCAUUAGCCAGUUGGUGAGGUAACGGCUCACCAAGGCAACGAUGCGUAGCCGACCUGAGAGGGUGAUCGGCCACGCUGGGACUGAGACACGGCCCAGACUCCUACGGGAGGCAGCAGUAGGGAAUCUUCCGCAAUGGACGAAAGUCUGACGGAGCAACGCCGCGUGAGUGAUGAAGGCUUUCGGGUCGUAAAACUCUGUUGUUAGGGAAGAACAAGUGCUAGUUGAAUCAGCUGGCACCUUGACGGUACCUAUCCAGAAAGCCACGGCUAACUACGUGCCAGCCGCCGCAGUAA
rnacentral:rRNA from 1 species